rnacentral:rRNA from 1 species
AGAGUUUGAUCCUGGCUCAGGAUGAACGCUGGCGGCGUGCUUAACACAUGCAAGUCGAACGGUGAACACGGAGCUUGCUCUGUGGGAUCAGUGGCGAACGGGUGAGUAACACGUGAGCAACCUGCCCCUGACUCUGGGAUAAGCGCUGGAAACGGCGUCUAAUACUGGAUACGAGUAGCGACCGCAUGGUCAGUUACUGGAAAGAUUUAUUGGUUGGGGAUGGGCUCGCGGCCUAUCAGCUUGUUGGUGAGGGUAAUGGCUCACCAAGGCGUCGACGGGUAGCCGGCCUGAGAGGGUGACCGGCCACACUGGGACUGAGACACGGCCCAGACUCCUACGGGAGGCAGCAGUGGGGAAUAUUGCACAAUGGACGCAAGCCUGAUGCAGCAACGCCGCGUGAGGGAUGACGGCCUUCGGGUUGUAAACCUCUUUUAGCAGGGAAGAAGCGAAAGUGACGGUACCUGCAGAAAAAGCGCCGGCUAACUACGUG